rnacentral:lncRNA from 1 species
AAGAUUUUUGGAGAAAAAUUUUGGGGCGUGAGAAGUCUUGUGCAUGAGAAGGAAGUCCAUAUCCUUCCAAAAGAAAAAGAAAGAAAAGAAAGAAAAGUGGGUGCAAGGUUUCCGAUGAGUUUCCUAGAGUUUUAGCCUGGGGUUCGGGAAGUGAGAAAGUGAGCUACGAGUGUCGUGAGCCCACAAAAUCUCAGGAAGAUCUUCAACAUCCUCUCAAGCAUGUCUGUUGAUGAUCCAGAGCAUCCGAAGAAUCGACAGACAUCGAUCGAAGGAGUUCGAUCAGCAUCGGCCGUCAAAAGGGCUCUACAAUGAGCUAGCACUCGUGAGGAGUCGAUC